rnacentral:rRNA from 1 species
GGGAAGAGCUCAAAUUUGAAAUCUGGUGGCCUCAGGUCAUCCGAGUUGUAAUCUAUAGAAGUGUUUUCCGUGCUGGCUCAUGUACAAGUCCCUUGGAACAGGGCGUCAUAGAGGGUGAGAAUCCCGUCCUUGACAUGAACUACCAGUGCUCUGUGAUACAUUUUCAACGAGUCGAGUUGUUUGGGAAUGCAGCUCAAAAUGGGUGGUAAAUUCCAUCUAAAGCUAAAUAUUGGCGAGAGACCGAUAGCGAACAAGUACCGUGAGGGAAAGAUGAAAAGCACUUUGGAAAGAGAGUUAAACAGUAUGUGAAAUUGUUAAAAGGGAAACGAUUGAAGUCAGUCGUGCUCUUUGGAUUCAGCCGGUUCUGCCGGUGUACUUCCUUUGAGUGGGGUCAACAUCAGUUUUGAUCGCUGGAUAAAGGCUGGAGGAACGUAGCACCCUCGGGUGAACUUAUAGCCUCCUGUCACAUACAGUGGUUGGGACUGAGGAACGCAGCACGCCUUUAUGGCCGGGAUUCGUCCACGUACGUGCUUAGGAUGUUGACAUAAUGGCUUUAAACGACCCGUCUUGAA